GCCAUUCCGCUUCACCAUCUGCCUCGCCUCUUUGCCGUCCUCACUCCGUCCUCUUCUAUGUUUUCUGGAUUUGCCGCCGCCGCCUUCUCCGCUCCCAAGAUAGCCUCGCUCUCCUCCUUGGUGCCAGUGGGAGAGGUAGCGGACGAAAAUCGAUGACGCCGACCCGCUCCUCCACGGCAGCGCCUUCGUCCCCGACGACACCCAGCAGCAGCUCACUCCCGGCCCAAAACGAGGCAGCGUUCCCAAAUGUGAAGCAACAACCCGCAGAAAGAUGAGCAGGAGCAGAUCAGGGAUGAAGCCACGAUCUACGAUGGUGAUUCUUCCAAUAAAAUGAUGCAGGUGGCCAACAGCUUGAUGGUGCCAUCUAUAUUGAAAAUGAUCACAUUUAUGAAGUUAUGCUCUGCUUUGGCGCAUGUUUAUAUCCUAAUCCAAGUACUAAUGUCGGUGUGAGCUCAAGGCAAAAAGGCAGAACCCAUUUGUAGUUUCAGCUUUACGAGGAGUUGUCGGCAAUGAUUGAUGAGAUAAUUGGUUGAGCUACUUUCGGAAGGGGCGACGGAAAUCAUAAAAACUACCAUGGCUAUGGAGAUUCAACAUAUAGAAAGAUGGAAGAGGUCGACUUGCAAUGUUAAAGCAGAUAACCUUGUUAAAAGAUGAGCAUUUAGAGAAGUGUGUGCUCGCCAAGGACCCAAUGGGUUUUUGAAGAGUUAGCUGCACAUCGUUGGUGUCCGAUGCACUAACAGAAAUUAGAGUAUAUGAACCAGCAAAUAUAAUGUUGGUCCGUAAAGCCUUACUUCUUCAUUCGUUCACUGUUGCUUCAUCAUUGAUUCUUCUUUUGGACAAACAAGUUCUCCCUCCUUUCAGUAAUUCUGUAUCAACAUGGCGCGUGUUUGUAUGAUGCAUGGUUACAUAGGUUACUGUAUUGCUGAAGUAGUACAUGAUCUGGCCUUCUACUAGUUGUUGUCUUAAAUAGCUAAUUGUUUUUUUUUGGUUUUUCUAUAUGCUAUAUUCAAGUUGUUGGACAAGUUCUCAUUGGUUGCUUCCUGUUCAUUACAUUAAAUCCUUGAAGCAUGAUAUUGUAAUUGAUGUAGUUCUUCCUUGAACCAGCUAUGUGUAUAUGUGUAUCAACAUGUAGUGCAUAUGUGUAUCUUCUGAUUGUAGAAAUAGGAAAUGGAAGCCUAUUAUGAGCC